UACAGAGGUGGCAAGCGUUGUUCGGAAUUACUGGGCGUAAAGGGCGCGUAGGCGGCCUGGUCAGUCGAAGGUGAAAUCCCCGAGCUCAACUUGGGAACUGCCUUCGAUACUGCCGGGCUUGAGUCCGGGAGGGGAGAGUGGAAUUCCCAGUGUAGCGGUGAAAUGCGUAGAUAUCUGGAGGAACACCGGUGGCGAAGGCGGCAUUCUGGACUGUAACUGACACUGAGGAACGAAAGCCAGGGGAGCAAACGGG
rnacentral:rRNA from 1 species